rnacentral:lncRNA from 1 species
GGGCUGUCAGACCUUUGACCACAGACUAAAGGCUGCACUGUCAGCUUCCCUACUUUCGAGGUUUUGAGACUCAGACUGGUUUCCUUGCUCCUCAGGUUGCAGGCAGCCUAUCGUGGGACUUCAACUAUUGAUCAUGUGAUUCAAUACGUAUUAAAUAUACUUGAAAAUUUCCUGUCUUCCAGAAAAAUCUGUGCAAAAUACUAUGAAUUAAAAGGCAUUAUACAAAUACAAGGCAAACAAAUUGACUUUCACAUAUACAUUAUUUAUAUCCAGUGGUGUGCUACAGUCAGCAUAUACCAGCUCACAGAAAGCCCAUUUUCAAAUGUUUAGGAACCCUGCAAACUCAUUGACAUCACAUACAUUAAAAUCAGCAUGCUGAUGGGAAGCGCAGUGAGCCUUUACUUUAUGGGUUAUCUGUCUUUUGUUCUGUGUCUAUUUUAAGAUCAGUCUGUCUCAGUCACUUCUUUUUUUCUUCUUUUCAUGUACUAAAUCUAGAUGUCCUGGGCUCCUAAGUCUAGUGGGGACUUGGAGAACCUGUAUGUCUAACUAAGGGAUUGUAAAUACACCAAUCAGCACUCUGUGUCUAGCUGGCGCGAUGGCUUAUGCUUGUA